AUCCAGCUGACGAGUCCCAAAUAGAACGAGAUGCGCCUUGUCCUGGAU
rnacentral:hammerhead_ribozyme from 1 species